rnacentral:rRNA from 1 species
UACGUAGGGUGCAAGCGUUAAUCGGAAUUACUGGGCGUAAAGCGUGCGCAGGCGGUUUUGCAAGACAGUCGUGAAAUCCCCGGGCUUAACCUGGGAAUGGCGAUGGUGACUGCAAGGCUAGAGUGUGGCAGAGGGGGGUAGAAUUCCACGUGUAGCAGUGAAAUGCGUAGAGAUGUGGAGGAAUACCGAUGGCGAAGGCAGCCCCCUGGGCCAAUACUGACGCUCAUGCACGAAAGCGUGGGGAGCAAACAGG